GUUUUGAGCCUGUAACUACUUGAUUUUUACGAAGUUAUCUUCAUCAGUAGUGAGGGCUGACUUGGCUGGCAGGACAGCAAGUGUCAUUCCACACCAUGACCAACGUAUUGCUUCUCACCUUUCACCUCUCAUUUCAUAGGCUUAUAGACCACAAAUAUAAAGGAUAAAUAGCCUUGUAGGUGUGGAGAUUAGGAAUAUAAAUAGUAACCCAUUCUUCCAUCCUCACUGCACACAUCCUCUCUUUCUUUCCAA